rnacentral:tRNA from 1 species
GCUAGCGUAGCUCAAUUGGCAGAGUUCCGGUUUUGUAAACCGGCGGUUGUGGGUUCGACUCCCACCGCUAGCU